UGUUUUGAUCCUAGACAUUAUAUUGCUUGUAAUUAUAAUUAUACAUGCUAGCCUCCACACACCUGUGAAUAACGCCCCAUCAAGGAGCCGGUAUCAGGCACACCAUUUUAUGGUAGCCCAAGACACCUCGCCUAGCCACUCCCCCACUGGGUCACAGCAGUAGUAAACACUAAGCAAUAAGCCCAAAAGCUUGACUUGGUAAUGAUUACAUCUUUUAGGGUCGGUAAACCACGUGCCAGCCACCGCGGUUAUACGGGGGACCCAAAACAAUAUACUUCGGCGUAAAGUGUGACAAAAGGAUAAUUAAAAACUGAGGGUAAAAACCUACUAAAAGUUGUAAAAUAUGCAGUGCAUCCGGUACACCCCCUACCAUCACAAACUAACCCCUAUGACCUCACGAAAACUGGGGCCCAAACUAGGAUUAGAUACCCUACUAUGCCCAGUCGUAAACUAUGAUGUACCAAACAUCCGCCAGAGAAUUACAACCAACCAGCUUGAAACUCAAAGGACUUGACAGUAUCUCACAUACACCUAGAGGAGCCUGUCCUAUAAUCGAUAACCCACGAUCAACCUCACCAGCCUUUGCACAAACCAGCCUAUAUACCUCCGUCGCCAGUCCGCCUGCUAACAGAUGCCAAAGCGCACACACCAGCUAACCACUCACACGACAGGUCAAGGUGUAGCUAAUGGGUUGGGCAGAGAUGGGCUACAUUUUCCUCGCUAGAAAACACCCACCGUGCCAUGAAAACCGCACGGGAAGGCGGAUUUAGCAGUAAGGAGAGUAAGACAUACCCCCCUGAAAUUUACAAUGAGAUGUGU
rnacentral:ncRNA from 1 species